rnacentral:rRNA from 1 species
CCUACGGGUGGCAGCAGUGGGGAAGAUUGCACAAUGGGGGGAACCCUGAUGCAGCGAUGCCGCGUGGAGGAAGAAGGUUUUCGGAUUGUAAACUCCUUUUAUCAGGGACGAGAAUGACGGUACCUGGAGAAAAAGCGCCGGCGAACUACGUGCCAGCAGCCGCGGUAAUACGUAGGGAGCGAGCGUUGUCCGGACUUACUGGGUGUAAAGGGAGCGUAGGCGGGACGGAAAGUCAGAUGUGAAAACUGCGGGCUCAACCUUCAGACUGCAUUUGAAACUGCUGUUCUUGAGUGACGUAGAGGUAAUCUGAAUUCCUCUUGUAGCGGUGAAAUUCGU